AUUGAACGCUGGCGGCAUGCCUUACACAUGCAAGUCGAACGGCAGCGCGGACUUCGGUCUGGCGGCGAGUGGCGAACGGGUGAGUAAUACAUCGGAACGUGCCCUGUUGUGGGGGAUAACUAGUCGAAAGAUUAGCUAAUACCGCAUACGACCUGAGGGUGAAAGCGGGGGACCGUAAGGCCUCGCGCAAUAGGAGCGGCCGAUGUCUGAUUAGCUAGUUGGUGGGGUAAAGGCCCACCAAGGCGACGAUCAGUAGCUGGUCUGAGAGGACGAUCAGCCACACUGGGACUGAGACACGGCCCAGACUCCUACGGGAGGCAGCAGUGGGGAAUUUUGGACAAUGGGCGAAAGCCUGAUCCAGCAAUGCCGCGUGUGUGAAGAAGGCCUUCGGGUUGUAAAGCACUUUUGUCCGGAAAGAAAUGGCUCUGGUUAAUACCUGGGGUCGAUGACGGUACCGGAAGAAUAAGGACCGGCUAACUACGUGCCAGCCGCCGCUGUAA
rnacentral:rRNA from 1 species